CGUGAUACAUUAGCCAAUUAAAUGAUGACAUGUGGCACUUUUUAUUUUUUAUUUUUACUUUUAACUAAAUCUUAGAGACAUCUCUAUAAUUAUUUCAAAAUAAUAAUAAAAUUAACUAAAAAAAACUUCUAAACCAAUUUUUUAAGAAAACAAUAUUAGUACUGUAUAAACCCAAAUGUGCCCAGGCCCAAUCUAAUACCCAUUUUACAUUAUAAUACUCAGGCCCAAACCAACAAACAAUACAGACCUUAGCCCAAAACUAAAAAGAAAAAAAGAAAACCCUAGCAGCACUAUGCGCCCUAGCCACAGCUGCCUCCGUGCCUCCAGCAGAUGUCCCAAGCGGCGCACGCCUCGGGGCCAAUCCUCCCUACGUGCGCGCCGCUCCCACGCCCAACAAUCCCCCUUGCACUCCGUAGAUCGCGCCGCCCGCC
rnacentral:lncRNA from 1 species